ACGUAUGGGGCGAGCGUUGUUCGGAGUUAUUGGGCGUAAAGGGCGUGUAGGCGGCUCAUCAAGUCUGGUGUGAAAAUGCAGGGCUUAACCCUGCAGAUGCGCUGGAAACUGGUGGGCUUGAGUUCUUGAGGGGAAGCUGGAAUUCCAGGUGUAGGGGUGAAAUGUGUAGAUAUCUGGAAGAACACCGGUGGCGAAGGCGGGCUUCUAUCAGAGGACUGACGCUGAGGCGCGAAAGCGUGGGGAGCGAACAG
rnacentral:rRNA from 1 species